GUUUGAUCCUGGCUCAGAACGAACGCUGGCGGCGUGGAUAAGACAUGCAAGUCGAACGAGAGAAUUGCUAGCUUGCUAAUAAUUCUCUAGUGGCGCACGGGUGAGUAACACGUGAGUAACCUGCCCCCGAGAGCGGGAUAGCCCUGGGAAACUGGGAUUAAUACCGCAUAGUAUCGAAAGAUUAAAGCAGCAAUGCGCUUGGGGAUGGGCUCGCGGCCUAUUAGUUAGUUGGUGAGGUAACGGCUCACCAAGGCGAUGACGGGUAGCCGGUCUGAGAGGAUGUCCGGCCACACUGGAACUGAGACACGGUCCAGACACCUACGGGUGGCAGCAGUCGAGAAUCAUUCACAAUGGGGGAAACCCUGAUGGUGCGACGCCGCGUGGGGGAAUGAAGGUCUUCGGAUUGUAAACCCCUGUCAUGUGGGAGCAAAUUAAAAAGAUAGUACCACAAGAGGAAGAGACGGCUAACUCUGUGCCAGCAGCCGCGGUAAUACAGAGGUCUCAAGCGUUGUUCGGAAUCACUGGGCGUAAAGCGUGCGUAGGCUGUUUCGUAAGUCGUGUGUGAAAGGCGCGGGCUCAACCCGCGGACGGCACAUGAUACUGCGAGACUAGAGUAAUGGAGGGGGAACCGGAAUUCUCGGUGUAGCAGUGAAAUGCGUAGAUAUCGAGAGGAACACUCGUGGCGAAGGCGGAUUCCUGGACAUUAACUGACGCUGAGGCACGAAGGCCAGGGGAGCGAAAGGGAUUAGAUACCCCUGUAGUCCUGGCAGUAAACGGUGCACGCUUGGUGUGCGGGGAAUCGACCCCCUGCGUGCCGGAGCUAACGCGUUAAGCGUGCCGCCUGGGGAGUACGGUCGCAAGAUUAAAACUCAAAGAAAUUGACGGGGACCCGCACAAGCGGUGGAGUAUGUGGCUUAAUUCGAUGCAACGCGAAGAACCUUACCUGGGCUUGACAUGUAAUGAACAACAUGUGAAAGCAUGCGACUCUUCGGAGGCGUUACACAGGUGCUGCAUGGCCGUCGUCAGCUCGUGUCGUGAGAUGUUUGGUUAAGUCCAGCAACGAGCGCAACCCCUGUUGCCAGUUACCAGCACGUGAAGGUGGGGACUCUGGCGAGACUGCCCAGAUCAACUGGGAGGAAGGUGGGGACGACGUCAGGUCAGUAUGGCCCUUAUGCCCAGGGCUGCACACGUACUACAAUGCCCAGUACAGAGGGGGCCGAAGCCGCGAGGCGGAGGAAGUCCUAAAAACUGGGCCCAGUUCGGACUGUAGGCUGCAACCCGCCUACACGAAGCCGGAAUCGCUAGUAAUGGCGCAUCAGCUACGGCGCCGUGAAUACGUUCCCGGGUCUUGUACACACCGCCCGUCACAUCAUGGAAGCCGGUCGCACCCGAAGUAUCUGAAGCCAACCGCAAGGAGGCAGGGUCCUAAGGUGAGACUGGUAACUGGGAUGAAGUCGUAACAAGGUAGCCG
rnacentral:rRNA from 1 species